rfam:Tistlia consotensis strain TSBA 355 genome assembly, contig: Ga0111602_101
CAUAUUGCGCCGGCGGCAAAAGUCCCUACAUUCAUCCCUGCCGGGCAACCGGAUAUGGCGCUAAACGGGCGUAUGGAAUAGGCAGAGUGGACCCGGGGGCAGUACCCGGCGCCUCCACCAGUUUCCGGGAGCGGUGCCAAGGGCUUCGAUGGAGCCGGCGCCGCCCCGCCGACGGGGGCGAACCAGGAUCGACACCUGCAGUAAAGAUGCGAUCGGCGCCCGGCAUGGUACCGCCGUUAUCGGGCCAAAAUCAUAGUUGCCAACGACAACUAUGCUGAGGCUCGUCUCGCCGCGUAAUGCGGUCGGAUGAACCGACUCUAAAGUCCUAGGCGUUCAGCGCGUCUAGGCGGGGUUUGGGGCGCACCUGGCAACAGAAGCGCCCCGCC